rnacentral:rRNA from 1 species
UACAGAGGGGGCAAGCGUUGUCCGGACUUACUGGGUGUAAAGCGCAUGCAGGUGGCCUGGCAAGUGUGCUGUGAAAGCCCCGUGCUUAACACGGGGAGGCCAGUACAGACUGCCAAGCUCGAGGACUGCAGAGGGUAGGGGAAUUCCUGGUGUAGCGGUGAAAUGCGCAGAUAUCAGGAGGAACACCGGUGGCGAAGGCGGGUCUCUGGGCCGAUACUGACGCUGGGGAGCGAAAGCGUGGGGAGCGAACAGG